GAUGAACGCUGGCGGCGCGCCUAACACAUGCAAGUCGAACGGCACCCCUCUCCGGAGGGAAGCGAGUGGCGAACGGCUGAGUAACACGUGGAGAACCUGCCCCCUCCCCCGGGAUAGCCGCCCGAAAGGACGGGUAAUACCGGAUACCCCGGGGUGCCGCAUGGCACCCCGGCUAAAGCCCCGACGGGAGGGGAUGGCUCCGCGGCCCAUCAGGUAGACGGCGGGGUGACGGCCCACCGUGCCGACAACGGGUAGCCGGGUUGAGAGACCGACCGGCCAGAUUGGGACUGAGACACGGCCCAGACUCCUACGGGAGGCAGCAGUGGGGAAUCUUGCGCAAUGGGGGGAACCCUGACGCAGCGACGCCGCGUGCGGGACGGAGGCCUUCGGGUCGUAAACCGCUUUCAGCAGGGAAGAGUCAAGACUGU
rnacentral:rRNA from 1 species